AGCUCAGCUGCACUGAAUUAUAUUAGACUUAAAAUACCAACUUUGGGUUUUUGGUUACAAGAUAAUGCAAGAUUGCUGGCAAGAGAAUCCUGACGACCGUCCAUCCUAUGAGAAUCUUAGGAGUAAUUUUAAGAAAAUGGAAAAUCAAUAUCAGAGGCUCAUCAACAUGCAAGAUCACGACAAUAUACUUUUCGCGGAUAUGGAUGGAGUUUUUGUUCAAGAAUUGUGGAAACAGCUCUCAUUACCUUUGGCGGAAACAUUUACUUGAGAAUAAAAUUUCAAAACUCGA